rnacentral:tRNA from 1 species
ACUAUUUUGGCAGAGUAAAGUGUAAUAGAUUUAGAAUCUAAGUAUGUAAUUUUUUACAAAUAGUA